CAGCUCCAAUAGCGUAUAUUAAAGUUGUUGCAGUUAAAAAGCUCGUAGUUGGAUCUAGGGACGCGCAUUUCAAGCGCCCGUGUCGUCGGGUCAAACCGGCGACUGCGUUGGCGUUGCGGGCUCGGUCCGUCGGUGCCUACAAAGCAUCGGCGUGUCAACCGGCCCGCCCGUCCCCUCCUUCUGGAUUCCCGUUCCUGCUAUUGAGUUAGUGGGGACGUCACAGGGGGCCCAUGCAAAUGGCGGCGGUGGGUCUCUGGGGCCCAGAUCGUUUACCGUGAAAAAAUUAGAGUGUUCAAAGCAGGCAGAUCCAAUUUUCUGCCACCGAAUACAUUAGCAUGGGAUAAUGGAAUAGGACCCUGUCCUCCUAUUUUCAGUUGGUUUUGGCAGCGCGAGGACUAGGGUAAUGAUUAAUAGGGAUAGUUGGGGGCAUUAAUAUUUAAUUGUCAGAGGUGAAAUUCUUGGAUUUAUGAAAGAUUAACUU
rnacentral:rRNA from 1 species